UUUGCUUUAGAUGUUAUUCCGGGCCGGAGUGUAACGGCCGUUACACGCCGUAACGUUCCGUAACGGCCGUUACGGGUGUGAUUCGACUUUCUCCGUUACAAAUGGGGUGUAACCGGAGCGGCGACGGCCGUUAUGGCCGUUACCGUUACAUAACGGCCGUUACGGGUGUGACUCAGGACUUCUUUUGCUAAAUUUCAAUUUCUUAUUUCUCGAUUCAGAUUUCAACCAUGUCAAGUAGAUUUGAAAUCGGGUUAGUUAAGAGUAUUGUA
rnacentral:lncRNA from 1 species